rnacentral:lncRNA from 1 species
CUCCUACCCCUCCUGUCCCCUUUAUCACCCAUGUGUAACAAAAGCGCACAGCAAGUUGGCCAUGACAGAAGGCAUUGUGCACCAAACUCCACCCUCACCCUCAGCAUGACUCAGCAUGCUUGCGCAAGCCACAGCAGGCUACAGAGAAAAAAAGCUGCACACAAAAAGCAACUCAUGUGCAUGCUCCCUUGCACCUGUGCCUGUGUUGUUGCCGCCAGCACGGUCAUCGCUCCCGCGCCUUUCGUCUUGUUUGUUGCCUGUGUGUGCCAAAAGCGCACAGGAAGUUGACCAUGACAGAAGACAGUCACAACAAACUCUGCUCUGCCCUCACUCUCAGCAUGACCCAAGCAAGCCACAGCAGGCAACAGAAAAAAAAGCUGCACGCAAAAGGCACACCAGGUAACAAGUAGGGAACCUCAUUUAUUUCCUUUUGGGAGAAGCUUCUCACGUGUGCGUCGCAACUCCUAACUACGUGGUACAGGACAACACUUUGCCUUAGGGCCAGCGAGCCAUGCUUGCCCUUAGGCGUGGGUGGCCCCUAUGGGGCAUCGUUCCCAUGCUUCCUCCUCCCAUCACCUGUAUGGAAUAAAAAGAAGGCAAAGUAAUGAGCCAAUCCUUAAAUUCCUAAAANN